AGCGAACGCUGGCGGCAGGCCUAACACAUGCAAGUCGAACGAACUCUUCGGAGUUAGUGGCGGACGGGUGAGUAACACGUGGGAACGCGCCUUUAGGUUCGGAAUAACUCAGGGAAACUUGUGCUAAUACCGAAUGUGCCCUUCGGGGGAAAGAUUUAUCGCCUUUAGAGCGGCCCGCGUCUGAUUAGCUAGUUGGUGAGGUAAAGGCUCACCAAGGCUACGAUCAGUAGCUGGUCUGAGAGGAUGACCAGCCACAUUGGGACUGAGACACGGCCCAAACUCCUACGGGAGGCAGCAGUGGGGAAUCUUGCGCAAUGGGCGAAAGCCUGACGCAGCCAUGCCGCGUGGAUGAUGAAGGUCUCAGGAUUGUAAAAUCCUUUCACCGGUGAAGAUAAUGACUGUAGCCGGAGAAGAAGCCCCGGCUAACUUCGUGCCAGCCGCCGCCGUAAGAC
rnacentral:rRNA from 1 species